AGAGUCGAUUGGACAGUCGCUGCCUUCUAUGAAAAUUAGGAGGGGGAGGAAAGUCCGGGCUCCAUAGGGCGAAGUGCCAGGUAAUGCCUGGGAGGCGUGAGCCUACGGAAAGUGCCACAGAAAAUAACCGCCUAAGCACUUCGGUGCCGGUAAGGGUGAAAAGGUGCGGUAAGAGCGCACCGCACGACUGGCAACAGUUCGUGGCUAGGUAAACCCCACUUGGAGCAAGACCAAAUAGGGUCCCAAGGCGUGGCCCGCGCUGG
rfam:Rhodobacteraceae bacterium PD-2 genomic scaffold scaffold417, whole genome shotgun sequence.